rnacentral:rRNA from 1 species
CUAACGAAUAAGGGGUGGGCAAGUUCUGGUGUCAGCCGCCGCGGUAAAACCAGCACCUCAAGUGGUCAGGAUGAUUAUUGGGCCUAAAGCAUCCGUAGCCGGCUCUGUAAGUUUUCGGUUAAAUCUGUACGCUCAACGUACAGGCUGCCGGGAAUACUGCAGAGCUAGGGAGUGGGAGAGGUAGACGGUACUCGGGAGGAAGUGGUAAAAUGCUUUGACCUCUCGAUGACCACCUGUGGCGAAGGCGGUCUACCAGAACACGUCCGACGGUGAGGGAUGAAAGCUGGGGGAGCAAACCGGAUUAGAUACCCGGGUAGUCCCAGCUGUAAACUAUGCAAACUCAGUGAUGCAUUGGCUUGUGGCCAAUGCAGUAUUGCAGGGAAGCCGUUAAGUUUGCCGCCUGGGAAGUACGUACGCAAGUAUGAAACUUAAAGGAGUUGGCGGGGGAGCACCACAACGGGUGA